ACAGAGGGCUCAAGCGUUAAUCGGAAUCACUGGGCUUAAAGGGUCCGCAGGCGGAUUGGAAAGUAUCUUGUGAAAUACCACGGCUCAACCGUGGAACUGCUCGGUAAACUUCCAAUCUUGACACGGAGGCAGGCUCGGAACUCUAGGUGGAGCGGUGAAAUGCGUAGAUAUCUAGAGGAACGCCAGAGGCGAAGGCGGAUGGCUGGGCCGUUGUUGACGCUCAGGGACGAAAGCAUGGGUAGCGAACGGGAUUAGAUACCCCGAGUC
rnacentral:rRNA from 1 species